UACGAAGGGGGCUAGCGUUGCUCGGAAUCACUGGGCGUAAAGCGCACGUAGGCGGAUUGCUAAGUCAGGGGUGAAAUCCUGGAGCUCAACUCCAGAACUGCCCUUGAUACUGGCGGUCUCGAGUCCGGGGAGAGGUGAGUGGAACUGCGAGUGUAGAGGUGAAAUUCGUAGAUAUUCGCAAGAACACCAGUGGCGAAGGCGGCUCACUGGCCCGGUACUGACGCUGAGGUGCGAAAGCGUGGGGAGCAA
rnacentral:rRNA from 1 species